CGCAGGGGGAGCAAGGCGACGGUUGCCGGGAAGCGCGCGCCACCCCUCCCUCCCAUUCUUCGUCCUCCCCUCGCGCGCCACCCGUUUUUCCCUCUUUCUCCGUUAAUAACAGCUGGGUGGCUGGGGGAGGAGGGAAGGUGGCCCCGGCGGAGUCUGGGCGGGCGCCUCCCGCUCAGCCGCCAGCCGCCUUGGGAGCCGGAGGAUAGCGGCGCUAGCGGCGGCCGCCCGAGAGGAGGCUGUGCCGAGGCUCGGGGCGCCGAGCGCAGCAGCAGAGAGCACCAGCGACCCGUUGUGGCGCACCAGACGCAAAACCAGCGGCAGCCGCACGGCCAACUGAGCCGCCCCUUCCUGCUGGAGCCAGCGAGGGGUGCGCGCAGCCGGGACCCCUUCCUCUGCGCGUCUCCUCGUUUCCCCCGCCCGCGUCAAGCCGCCAGCCUCGCCCGCCGCCCAGAGAAGGGGGCGCCGGGCGGCGGCCCUGUACGCGCGGGGGCCUCUCUGGACCGGCCGCGGCGCCUGGGCCCUGCUCUCUAGCUCCCGCGCUCACUCCUGCCCUCUGGGCUCUCCGGGCGCAGCGCGCAGGCCGGGCCGGACCCUGCCCGGGCCAGGACGGACAUGAGCGCCAAGCAGAGCGGCCCGACAGCAGUUAACAGUCGCACGCGCGCGUGCUCGGGCUCAGAUCUACUUUCCAGUAGCAGCGGAGGGGCCAAUGGGACCGCGGGCGGCGGAGGCGCUCUGACCGCCGCUGCGCGGAGGUUCCCAGAUCAGGUGCCCAAUGCGCACCAGCUCAGCGCUACGGCCGGCGCCGCGGCGGCUUCGGCAGUGCCGCGCAGCCGCUGCCUCGGCGGGGCCGUGGGGAGCGUGGCGUCGGCGGCCCGUGCGGCGCAGUCCUCCUUCAGCAUCCCGAACAGCAGCGGCGGCCCCUACGGCUCGCAGGACUCGGUGCACAGCAGCCCUGAAGACGGCGGCGGCGGCGGCCGGGAGCACCGGGGUACUGCGCCCGGUGAUUGGCUCCUUACCAGCUCUCCUCUCGCCGCACAUGUUUGGAGACUGUAUCAUCAUUUGCAUAGAAAAAUCCAAAGGAUUCUACAAACAAGCUACUAGAACCGCUGACUUCAUCAAGAUGCAGGUGCUGAGAAACAAUCUCUGUUACCCAAGAGCCAGCUAAUCCUUUUUACCAACUAUGAUAAUUGGCUGCCCUGAUUCAGAUAACAUUUCUUUUUUGUGACAUAGGGGUGACCACUGUUAGAAAACCCUGAAAAUGUUUUAAAACAAGAACUAAUGGGGCUUGGCGAUUCUUGCCACGCUUUUCCAGAGCUCGGACCUUGCUAUUACUUGCUCCUAGGCACCCACAAACCCUUGCUUGUUAAACUGAUCUCCUUCAAGAUUCAAGAAAAGCGGCAUGGGGCUCCCUCCUAGGGCCCUCCUGCCCUCUCCUCACAGAUGCCGAGAGUGGUCCUGGUGGAGAAACGAUGGGCCUGCAGGUCCUGCACCUUAUCCUGGAGCUGCGCCAGGAAAUUAUGGAUCAACCGGAAGCAGCCCAGAAGAAGGGUCUUGGCUGAUCACUUCCAACUAGCCGUCUCAGAUUGCGGACCUCUGCGCACCCCCUGCCAAGUUCCCUCCGCCUAGGGUGGAAAGUUGCAGAGGCCACCCCACUCUUCCAUCUCAGGCUCCUGGGCUUGGGAUGCUCUGCACCGCAGCUUCGUCUGACUGGGGCGGGAAGAUUGAAAAGGCUCUGGAGUCUCCGCUUUUGAGCUUACUCCUCGAUUGCUGGACUACUUUCUCAUAGUCCCUGUUUUGGUCAAUUUCCGGUGCAGGCCAGCCUAGUUGGGUGAGGUCUGGAAAGGCCUGACUCGCCUGGUAGCCUCAAGGACUUGUACCCACCGCAGUUGUGGACUUCUGGGUCGUCAUGGCAACUGUGAAAUGUGGUUCUGGGGGACGUGCAGUUGAAGCCAUUCGCGAGGGCAGUCCCUCCCUGUCCCCUCACGUGCUCCCCACUGUGCGCAGUACUCCGGCCUCCGUGCUUCUGAAAGCAGCCCAGAAGAAGGGUCUUAGCGAUCACCUCCAGCUGUAAGCCGUUUCGCCUCUCAGAUUGCAGACCUACACCCGCCCCCUGGCAGGUUCCCUCCGCCUAGUGUCCAAAGCCGCAGAGGCAGCCCCGACUCUUCCGCCACUUCCUCCCUCUUCAGCUCCAGGCUUGGGAGGCCGGCGCGCCACCACUUUGACUGGCUGGGGCAGGAAGAUUGAAACGGCUCAGGAGACUCCGCUUUUGAGCUUAUUCCUCGUUUGCCCGACUAUUUUUAAUAGUCCCUGUACCGGUCAAUUUCUGGCACAGCCCAGCUGAGUAGGGUGAGGUCUGUAAAGGCCUGACUCGCCUCUCAGCCUCAACGACUUGUACCCGCCGCCAUUGCGGACUUCCGGGUCAUCAUGGCGAUUGUGAAAUGUGGGGUAGGGAGAAUGCGGUUGAAACCAUUUGCGCGGGCAGUGCCUUCGUGUCCCCACGUGCACCGCAGCGAGCAGAGCACCUCCGCCUCUGCGCUUACUGGAGCAUGCUGCCUUUGGUGAGGGCAGCCCCCCACACCCUCCCCAGCGUCUGCAGCCUUCCGUGUGCACAGUCCCCAAACCCGCACAGUCCCCAAGCCCGCACGUGCAGUCCCCACCUUGCCAGCAGGUCCACAUACAGCCCCCCACACGCUACCAGCCCCACUGAUGCAGAACCCAUCACUGCUCGCCCUUCACACACUUCAGUGGGUGUGCAGUCCCCCGAGCACGCAGCUCCACACAGCCUCCCCACAUGCUCCCCAGCGCCUGCAGCCUUCUCUUAACUUCUUUUGCCAGGCCCAUACAUACCUGCCUGUAGACAACGACAGGUAUGGCAACCUGUCGUAUGCCAGUGGAUUGGCAACGACAAUGGUGACAGCUGACAUUUAUUGAAUACAUGCUAUGUUCCAGAUGCUGCAUCUCCAUUUCUCAGAUGAAGAAUCUAAGUCUCAGGGCCUCAUCCAAAACCAUACAGGUAAUAAGCAGUAGAGCUGGGAUCUAAGCUGAGGGAAUUUUACUCUAGAACUCACAGUAUUAACCACAGUGCUCUCUUGGCUUAUAUUUCUAAGGUACAUGCUGUAACCACUUUUAUUUUUUUAUUUUUAUUUAUUUUUUUAUUUUGAGAUGGGGUCUCACUCUGACACCCAGGCUGGAGUGCAGUGGUGCGAUCUCGGCUGAUUGCAACCUUCGCCUCCCAGAUUCAAGGGAUUCCCUUGCCUCAGCGUCCUGAGUAGCUGGGAUUACAGGCACGUGCCACCAUGCCCAGCUAAUUUUUUGUAUUUUUAGUAGAGAUGGGGAUUUGCCAUGUUGCCCAGGCUGGUCUUAAACUCCUGACCUCAGGAGAUCCGCCAGCCUCGGCUUCCCAAAGUGGUGGGAUUACAGGCGUGAGCUGCCACACCCUGCCUAUAACCAUUCCUUUUUUAGGGAGGUGUGGUAUAUGGUGCUACCCUGGAUCUAUAGUCAGGAUUUGAAGAAGAGAGAAGGUAUUUGCUUUUGAAGAAGGCACCUAUGCAUUGUGCUGGGUAGUGGCGACUGGAGAGAGAGCUGGGAGGGGCACAGGCAGCAAGGUCCAUGCUUAAAGGCAGUUAUCUAGUUUGGAGAAACUUAGCUGGAUAGUCCUUACAUGCAUUUGGCAAGCACUUAUCAUACACUGUAAAGACGCAAUUUGUCUAGCUUGUUAGAGGGUGGGCUCUGGAGUCAGACUCCUGGCUUUGAACCCCAACUUCCCUGCCAUUUUCAAAUGACACUGGAGAAGUCGCAAAACCUAUUUCUGUCUCAGAUUCCUCCCCAGUAAAAGUUGGAUAUUAAUAGUACCUCCUUUGGCUUGAUAUGAAAAUUCGAUGAGUUGAUAUAUGCAGAACAUCUUAGAACAGCAACCAGCUUAGAGUAAAUCUUCAGUAAUUGUAAACUGUGGUUAUACUAUGUUUUUGGCACUGAAGUCACGUUGUGGUUAAUAAGAUAGUGCCUGACCUCAAGAAACUCAGAGUCUAGUAAUGGAGACAGGUAAACAAAUACUUGCAAAGUGUGUGGCAUGAGAGAGGUGUGACAGGUGGGUGGGAACCUGCAGCAGGCACAUCUGACCCAUCCUAGGUGUGUAUGGUGCAGAGAAGUUAGCUUAGGCUUUCUAGGGGCACUGAUGUCUGGGCCAAGUCUUGUAGGGCAGGGAGCUAUGGGGCACAUGUAGUGAUCCAGCUGGGGGCUGAGCAGGAGCUGAAAGUGAGCAGCUCACAUCUGUAGGAUUGCCAGAUUUAGCAACGGAAAGUACAGGAUGCCCUAUUAAAUGUGAAUUUCAGAUAAUAACUUUUAAGAAUAAGUAUGUGUCAUGCAAUAUUUUUAGUAUAAGUAUGUCCCAAAUAUUGUAUAGCCACACAAAUUAUUCAUUGUUUAUCUGAAAUUCAGAUUUCACUGGGCAUCCUAUGAAAAGUCUGGCAAUUUUAUCUGUCCACAUUUAGGAAGGUGCAGUGUGUUUCAGAGUAGCUGGAGUGAUGCAAGGAGGAAAGGCAGAGUGGGCCGGAUGGGACUGAGAGGCACGCAGGAGGCACUUCAUAAAAGACCUAUGCUAUGUUAAGGGAUUUGGAUUUUAUCCUGAAAUUAAUGAUUAGCCCUUAGAGACCUUUAACCACAGGGACGUGAAACCACGGAGACAGCAGUGUCAGGCAUGAUGAAAUGAGUGUCAGUUUCUAUGGCUGAAUAGCAAAUUACUCCAAAUUUAGAGUCUUAAACAGUAAACAUUUAUUAUCUCCCAGUUUCUGUGGCUCAGGAAUUCAGAGGCAACUUAGCUGAGUGGUUCUGGCUGAGGUUUCUCAUGAGGUUGUAGACAAGAUGGUGACCAGAGUGGCAGUUAUCUAAAGGAUGCACUGGAGCUGGAGAAUGUGCUUCUAAGGUGACUCACUCUAAUGGUUGGGAAGACACUGCUGGUUGUCAGUAGGGGAGCUCAGUUCCUUGUCACAGGGACCCACCACAGGACAACUUGAGCCUCCUCACUACAUGACAACUGGCUUAGUGAUCCGAGACAGCAAAGUGACCUUAACUUUGGAAGUCACAUGCUGCCUUGUCAUUCCCAUAUAUCCCAGUGUGAACACAGUUCAGCCCUGCUCAACCGGACAUACAAAAUUUAGACAGACACCAAACAGGACAAUAGACACUGGGCAAGGACUUCUUCAGGGUCCUUAGUACAGAUUUUCUAUCUCAGGAGGUCAAAUCUCUCAUCAGUCGUUUGGGCUGGCCAUCCCAGUCCUGCCUUUUCUGUCAGAAACAAAUCAGGUGUUGUUACGGGGAGGGGUGUGGAAGACAUUCGCCCAUUUGGGAUUCCUGGUACCAUAAAGAUUGCUGGUGUUUAGAUCGCCAUACUCCAUGCCCCAAUGACUGGACCAUCUUCUCCUUAGACCAGUGGUGGAUUCAAAAUAGCCACCCUGCAGACCUCCUUGCUCACCUUUUCUGUCAUCCUGUAACUUUUCCCAUGCCCUUAGAUAAGGCACUGUGCAGAGAAACCUACGCCCGUAGUGCUCUACUCCAUCCGUCUGGAUUCUUAUUCUAUCCCUCCGUGGCUACUGUCCUACUUUAGGAAAGAUCCGAGCGGCCCCGCACAUCUCGUUUUCCUGUGUCACUGCAAGUCCAGCCCUUCAAUACUUGACUCUGCUCUCCCUCCUAGAACCCUUAAAAGAAAGGGCCGAGUUUGAACUUUCUGCCUUUGAGUCGUGGAGACACCACAGAUAAUUUGGGCUAUAAGUUAAGGGGUGAGGGGGUCCUUGAGGAGGCAGAUCUUAUGUGACAAGAAGCAUUAGCUACAGCUGUUUUCCUGCUUCUUCUAGCUAUAAUACUUCUGAUACUGAGAGGUGACAAUGUGCUAGCAGCCGUAGCGCUCAGCGCCGCCUCGGCCUCAGCCACUCUGGCGGCGCUUGAGGAGCCCUUCAGCCUGCCGGGGCACCGUGGGAACCCCGCUCUGGGCUGGCUGAGGCGGAAGCCAUCUCCCUCUGCUUGCAGGGAGGUGUGAAGGGAGAAGUGCGGGCAGGAACUGGGGCUUCGUGCAGCGCUCACCGGCCAGAGUGAGUUCUGGCGGGCCGGGCACGGGCUUGGUGGGCCCCGCACAGGAGCGGCCGGCUGGCGGGGUCAUCCGGUGCUGCUGGCCCAGGGCAAUGAGGGGCUUAGCAUCCAGGCCGGCAGCUGCAGAGGGUGCACCAGGUCCCCUGGCAGUGCCGGCCUGCCAGUGCUGUGCUCGAAUUCUUGUGGAGCCUCAGCUGCCUCCCCGCGGGGCAGGGCUCGGGACCUGGAGCCCACCAUGUCCGAGCCCCCCUCCACCAUGGUCUCCCACGCGGCUGGAGCGGUCCGAGCUUCCCUGUCGGGCUCUGCCCCCUGCUCCGUGGCACUUGGUCCCAUCAACCACCCAAGGGCUGAGGAGUGGCAGGCGCAACUCAGGACUGGCAGGCAGCUCCGCCUGCAGCCCCGGUGCAGGAUCCA